UUAAACUAAAAUUUAUAUAAAUUUAUUUUCCCGAAGUGAAAAGAUCUAAUUAAACUUAGCUUUUUUAGUAGUUUUAUAGUAUUGUGGCAAAAUUACAAGGUAUAGAGUUAGUUAGGGGUGAUAGGCCAUUCAAUUUUCAUUGAUAGCUGGAUUAAACUUAAAAAUAUUUAGUAUUUAAACACAAACUCAAAAAUCUAAGCUUUUGAGUAUAAUAAAAUUAUUGUUUAACCACCACAUAAUAAACCAAUUUAUUAAUAUAAUACAGUGAACAACUAGUAGUAAUAAAUUUACUAAUUUUUUAAGCUCUCUUAGGUUUAUAUACCCUCGGAAUAUUCUUUCUGGUAUAAAUAAUGUUUAAAUGAGUAUAAUAUAUCAAAAAAAAGUAAGGAACUCGGCAAAUAUUUUCUUCAGCUGUUUAUCAAAAACAUAGCUAGUUGUUUUUUUAUAAUUAGUGAUCUCUGCCCGGUGAUUUCAAAUUUAACGGCCGCAGUACACUGACUGUGCAAAGGUAGCAUAAUCAAUUGGCUAUUAAUUGUAGUCGAGAAUGAAAGAGUUCAUGGGGAAGUGCUGUCUUACUUUUUUUUUCUCGAAUUUACUAAGCAAGUGCAAAAACUUGCGUAGUCUUAUAAUAGACGAGAAGACCCUAUAAAUUUUCUACUAAAUAUGGAAAAAUUCCAAGUUCGUUUUUGUUGGGGCAACAGAUUAACAUAUAUUUACAAAUUUAAUUAAUUAUAUAGAAUCGAAUAAUUCGAGUAAUACUAAAUAUAAACAAAUUACUAUAGGGAUAACAGCAUAAUUUUACAAAUAAGAUUGUGACCUCGAUGUUGGAUUAGGAACUUAGCAAAUCAACAAUUUGUUUAUGGAGUUCUGUUCGAACUUUUAUACCU
rnacentral:rRNA from 1 species